AUCCUACUUAUCAAUAAUAACUGUGAAUAUAAAUGGAUUAAAUUCUCCAAUUUAAAGUGAGCUCCUGAAUAGAUUUAAAAACAAGACCCAACUAUAUGCUCCCUACAAGAGACUAGCCUCACUGGUAGACAAGCAUAGACUGAAAGUAAAGGAAUGGAAAAAGAUAUUUCAUGCAAACAGAUACCAAAAGUGAGCAGGAGUACUCAUACUCCUGAAAGGAUAAAAGAGCUAGACAUUUUAUCAGAUAAAAUAGAUUUUAAGUAAAAAACUAUAAAAAGCAACAAAGGAGGUCAUUAUCUAAUGACAAAGGAAUCAAUCCAACAAGUGGAUUAACAACUGUAAAUACAUAUACACUCAACACUGAAGCACCCUAAUAUAUGAUGAAUAUAUAAUAUUAUGAAUACUAUAUCAUGAAGCACCCUAACAUAAAUGAAUAUUAUUAGCUCUAAAAGGAGAGACAGAUUUGGGCAACAUAGCAAGACU
rnacentral:lncRNA from 1 species